UAACAAAAAAAUACUCAAUGGAUUCAAAAGAGUGCAGAAAAAGGGGGAAGCAGAACCAAGAACACGUGAGGGGAAAUAGAAAACAAAGAGUAGGAUCGUAUAUUUGAACCCAACCAGCUCAAUAAUCACAUUAAAUAUAACUGGUAUGAACACCGUGUGAUAGCCAGCCUCCAAGAUAGCGGCCAUGGACACUUGCCUGGUAUUCACAUCACCAUACAAGCCGUUCGUUCCCAUUAAUGGUGGGCUGGGCUUUGUGACUUACUGAAGACCUACUACAGACAAGAUAAGGCAGAUGGGAUGGUGUGAUUGCAGAUGAGGUCAUAAAAGGCAAGGUGACAUUUCUUUCUUUCUCUCUCUCCCCCCAGUAUCAGUGGCUCCGGGGAAAGCCAUAUUGCUAGCAGUCCUGUGGAGAGGUCCAUAUGGUGAUGAAGGGCAGCCUCCUGUGAACAGUCUUGGUGGUGAGCUCAGAAGUGCAUUCUCCAUUUCUGCCAAAGCUUCAGAGCCUGCAGCCCCCUCAGACAGCUUGAUUGGAACCUAAUCAGAGACCCUGAGCCAGAAUGGCCCACCUAAGCUGUUGCAGGAUUUCUGACCCUCUGAACCUAGUGAUAAAAAGUCUCAGCAAACUAGGAAUCCAGAGGAACUUCUCCAAUCAGAUUGGGGACAUCUACAAGACUCUUAAAAUUAACAUUACACAGAGACUGAACGCUUCUCUCCUAAGAUCAGGUUGGAAGUCAUGAUGUCCCCUCUCCGCAUUUCUAGGCAGCAUCAUAUUGGAGGUUUUAGCCCUUGCACAAAGGCAAGAAGAAGAAUUAAAGGGCAUCAGAUUGCAAAGGAAGAAAUAAAACUGUUUUUAUGGGUAGAUGACAUGAUCCCCUACACACAACAUUCUCUUGAAUUCACAAUAAAGCCCCUGCACAACUACUGAGUUUAGCAGACUUGCAGGAUACAAGAUCAACACACAAAAAUCAAUGUCUUUGUAUAGACGAGCAACAAAGAAUCAGAAGUUAAAAUUUAAAAAUCAAUAUGAUUUACAACAACAUCAAAAAUAUUAACUGCCUCGGGAUAAAUCUGACGAAAGGUGUACAAGAUCUAUGCUCCAAAGACUGCAAAAUAUCGCUGAGAGAAAUGAAAGUAGACCGGAACACAUGCAGAGGUAUAUGUGUCCAUGGAUCCAAUGACUCAAUACUCUGAAGAGUCCAGUUCGUACUGAAUUGCUCCAGAUUCAACAUCCCUCCAAACAAAAUCCCAGCAAGGUUUUUUGUAGGAAUUGAAUGCUGAUGCUAAAAUGUAUAUGGCAAUAUUAAAAAAGAUCGAAACUCAGAGCUACAUGCAGAAAGAGCAUCGCAUCGAAUAGGAAAUAAAUGAAGCUGUUAAAAAGAAAAAGAGCAUCAAGCCCUUUUGGAGAAGACCUGGAAUAUAGGAUUUGGGGGAAUCCAACCCAAGAGAUAGGAGGAGAUGGGAAUGCCUGGCAAUGGGUAGACAGAAGGCCUAGGACCCAGCCUUUCCUGCCUUCGGAUUACGGGAGAGGAUUGUCUCUUCAUCUGCUACCAGGGGAGUCCCUGGACGGUCACACUUGACCUUCGUGAUCAAUCGCCCCGAACUUUCCACUGUCUUUCUCCAACAUCGCUGCUCCACCCCCUGCCAGCCUGUCCAAGACCUGAGACCCUGCACUCCCGGGGCCUUGCGUCAGUGGAGAUUCCAUCCACGUUCAUCAGGGGGCUCGGAACGAUUGCACAGCACGCCCGGGGCGAUCGGGGCUCCGCCACAGAGACGGGGUCCUCGUGGCCACCGGCCGGUCAGUGAUCGAACUCCAACACCCAGAGCAGAGUCGCCUUCCUCCAACCACAUGCCAUGUGGCUUAUUGUCCUACUUCUGAUCUUCUGGUUUAUUUUAAGGAAGAACAGCCAAAAUACAAGCGGAAUUUGGCAAAUGAAGCAUGAACAACGUGGUCCGGGAUCCACUGCACAUCUAAACCACAGUAGAAGGGAGUCGUUUACAAGCAUUUGCUGAGAAGCUGCAUUGAUGGGUCGAGCUGGGCUCUGGGGAGGCAAAGAUCACACAUGGUCACUGCUCUCAAAGAGGGCCUUCUAAUGGACAGCCUGGGUGGCUCAGCGGUUUGGUGCUGCCUUUGGCCCAGGGCGUGAUUCCAGAGUCCCGGGAUCCAGUCCCACGUCAGGUUCCCUGCAUGGAGCCUGCUUCUCUC